rnacentral:rRNA from 1 species
UACGGGAGGCAGCAGUGGGGAAUAUUGCACAAUGGGCGCAAGCCUGAUGCAGCCAUGCCGCGUGUAUGAAGAAGGCCUUCGGGUUGUAAAGUACUUUCAGCGGGGAGGAAGGCGAUGCGGUUAAUAACCGCGUCGAUUGACGUUACCCGCAGAAGAAGCACCGGCUAACUCCGUGCCAGCAGCCGCGGUAAUACGGAGGGUGCAAGCGUUAAUCGGAAUUACUGGGCGUAAAGCGCACGCAGGCGGUCUGUUAAGUCAGAUGUGAAAUCCCCGGGCUUAACCUGGGAACUGCAUUUUGAACUGGCAGGCUUGAGUCUUGUAGAGGGGGUAGAAUUCCAGGUGUAGCGGUGAAAUGCGUAGAGAUCUGGAGGAAUACCGGUGGCGAAGGCGGGCCCCUGGGACAAAGACUGACGCUCAGGGUGCGAAAGCGUGGGGAGCAAACAGGGAUUAGGAUACC